AUUGAACGCUGGCGGCAUGCCUUACACAUGCAAGUCGAACGAGUGGCGAACGGGUGAGUAACAUAUGGGAACGUGCCUAGUAAUGGGGGAUAACUAAUCGAAACGGUAGCUAAUACCGCAUACCAUUCGAUGGGCCGAUAUCGGAUUAGCUGGUUGGUGGGGUAAAGGCUUACCAAGGCGACGAUCCCUAGCUGGUCUGAGAGGAUGAUCCGCCACACUGGAACUGAGACACGGUCCAGACUCCUACGGGAGGCAGCAGUGGGGAAUAUUGGACAAUGGGCGCAAGCCUGAUGCAGCCAUGCCGCGUGUAUGAAGAAGGCCUUCGGGUUGUAAAGGACUUUCAGCGGGGAGGCGGUACCUGCAGAAGAAGCACCGGCUAACUACGUGCCAGCAGCCGCGGUAAUAC
rnacentral:rRNA from 1 species